ACAAGAAGUAGGAAGACAAAAACUCUCUCCUCAUCUUGGGCCACGGAAGUUCAAUCAAGAUCUCCUUAAAUUGGAUCGAAUUCAAAACGUUGGAAUGAAAUGGGGGGCUUAAGCUGAGCUUCCAUGGAAGCUUCUAGGUAGACCGCAGGGUUCUUACCAUAUAGCUUAAAAGUACAAUUUUCUCUUCCUGCUCUUAAUUAACCAGUGGUUAUAAUGAAUUUUCUAACCGGCGCGGUUAAAGCAGUGGGGUUAAACCGGCAAGUCAUGGAACGGCUGAUAGGCUCGAUCCUCUUCGAACCUACCAAGGUUUCCAAUGUUCAAGUCAUCAAAUAAACGAAGAAAUCGAGAUAUUAAUGGGAAAGGAAGGUCUGACGCCAAAUUCAAUGGAUCAAGAAAGUUACAGUGAAUUUAGGGAUAACAUUUUACGUUAAAGAGUUGACCCAAGACUUUUUGUCGGAAAGUAUGGAUGAAACCAGGUCUUGAAGUUAAGGACAUGCACAAUGUUCCAAGAGUGUGUUUAGGGAGAGAUCUAAGCUCAAGAAAAUAUAUUGCAUAAGUUAUGUGAAAAACGUGAUUCAUCUCGUUAGUGGAGGGAUUAAUAUUUAUAGAGGUUACCAAACACAUAAAAUCGAAAAUUAUCUUGUAAGGAUGAAUAUAUAUAAGUUUCAAAACCAAAAUAGCUUUAAGUCCCAAGACAAGAAAGACAUCAAUGCGGGAAACAAAACACAAAUGAAACUACUGUACUCAACGGUGAAUGGUCGAGGAAAGCUGCAAAACUGAGAGUAAGAACGACAUCAGUCUGAAAAGCGAAAGUUAGCACAGUCUUUUUCAAGACCGAGU